rnacentral:rRNA from 1 species
UACAGAGGGUGCGAGCGUUGUCCGGAAUCACUGGGCGUAAAGGGCGCGUAGGUGGCGGCCCACGUCCGUGGUGAAAGCUCGCCGCUUAACGGCGAGUCGGCCACGGAGACUGGGUGGCUCGAGCACUGUAGGGGCAGAUGGAAUUCCGGGUGUAGCGGUGGAAUGCGUAGAGAUCCGGAAGAACACCAGUGGCGAAGGCGGUCUGCUGGGCAGUUGCUGACACUGAGGCGCGACAGCGUGGGGAGCAAACAGG